CUGCAUAUGAAUUGUGCAUGGAGAGAAAUAUGGGACAUGCGAUAUGACUGUUAACAUUUCAAAGAAGAUUAUUCAUCACUAUGGGAGGCAUCACUCAUAUUUGGCUUCUCCAGAUCCUUGAGAGUGAAGGUCUGCAGCUCAGAAUUCAACUAGUUGUUUUCAGCUUUUGACAGACUGCCUUUAUGAAGCAGAAUCGAAGGCCUUUAAGUGCUUGUAGUGGAUCCCUCUGAGAAAUGUAUAAUUGGUGUGGCACUGGCCCGCUGUCUUUCUUCUGCCUGUAGGGUAUUUCAAAACGUAACUCUUAGAAGGGAAGAGGUUAUGAGGCCUGAAGAACUCUCAUGUAGCCUGAAGCACCAAAUACUGCUCUCUGAUCUUCAGGGCUUUGGGAAGCAGCUGCUUCAUGUCUUUUCCUCAUCCUAAACCUCAAAAAUCCAAAAAUGCUGAGUUUAAGGUCACAUUGGAACAAACUGUGCUGUCAUCAGUAGCCAUGAAGUACAUCAUAAAAUGCCACCAGCUGAGCCUAGCAGUAGUAGAUGCAACUCCAGAACUUCAGCAGAGUUUUCCUUGUUCAGACUGGAACUGGAAUUUGGCCCCUCAAAAAACACCUCAUAAACAAUUAGAUCAAAGGGAGAAGAAAGAAAAAAAUCAGCUGUGAAGAUCAAAUAAAAGAGUGUUUCAGUAAGCUUCUGUCUCUGAA
rnacentral:lncRNA from 1 species